rnacentral:misc_RNA from 1 species
AAGUCGUAACAAGGUUUCCGUAGGUGAACCUGCGGAAGGAUCAUUAACACGUAUCCAAACGUUAAACCCCCCUGUGAACCUUCAGUCGUACUCGUACGUCCGUUAGAAAAAGCAGCAAUCCCUGGUAAAUCAUCGCCGAACAGUUUUCGAUUCAGGGACGUCUGCAAGGAGCGUGCAUGUUGUGCGUGUAAGUGGCCUGGCAUCCCCAAGCAGUUAGUGUCUGAAAGUGUCACUAACGUUAGUGUCUGAAAGUGUCACUAACAUGUGUAAGGAUGACGCAGUCACGAUCGUUGGAGGCCCACACGGCCGACGACCGGGUCACCGGGUGCAAGCCCCCUUAUCACACCCCUGCUCUAUCCUGCGGUCGAACGCCGAAACCGAACAACUGUUAACAAUGGAUAUCUUGGUUCUC